GACGUAGGGCGCGAGCGUUGUCCGGAUUUAUUGGGCGUAAAGAGCUCGUAGGCGGCUUGUUGCGUCGGCUGUGAAAACCCGUGGCUUAACUGCGGGCUUGCAGCUGAUACGGGCGGGCUAGAGUUCGGUAGGGGAGACUGGAAUUCCUGGUGUAGCGGUGAAAUGCGCAGAUAUCAGGAGGAACACCGGUGGCGAAGGCGGGUCUCUGGGCCGAUACUGACGCUGAGGAGCGAAAGCGUGGGGAGCGAACCGG
rnacentral:rRNA from 1 species